rnacentral:snRNA from 12 species
ACAAAUCUCUUUGCCUUUUGGCUUAGAUCAAGUGUAGUAUCUGUUCUUUUCAGUGUAACAACUGAAACGGCCCAAUUUGGGUCUUUUAAUGUUACAACUAUUUUUGCAGCUAGUGGGUCUCUCUCUGGGCUUGCUCAUGGAGACCCGCACUGUGUCGUUGCCCUUACACUACCGGCUUCUGACGCUAUCUAUG